rnacentral:lncRNA from 1 species
ACCAAUCAAUACCGGAAACAGUAAUGUUGUUACUACUACUACUACUACGACUAAUACUACUUAUCAUAAAACUCCUUUGUUUAGUUGCGAUUGCUUCUACUGCUACACUGCCUACUGGUGCCGCUGGGACUCCUCUCCCAAUCGCGAACUAAUCCACCAAGCCAUCGAGGCGUUUGAAGAUCAUUUAACCAACGGUGAGAAGCCGAAGAAGAAUACCGGUAGAGGAAAGAGAAGAGAUAGAAUCGGGCGUCAAGGUAGUACUGAUAAUAAGACUCUACCUGUUGUUCAUUGUCCAACGUCGGUUAACGAUGAGUGCGUCGACGUUCCAUUAUCGCCGGUGGUGGAAGAUGAAGGAAGUGUGGUGAAGGAAGUUGAAGAGAGUGGUCCGGUGGUGGAAGAUGUAGGCGGCGGGGAGCA